UACGUAGGCAGCGAGCGUUGUUCGGAGUUACUGGGCGUAAAGGGUGUGUAGGCGGUUGUUUAAGUUUGGUGUGAAAUCUCCCGGCUCAACUGGGAGGGUGCGCCGAAUACUGAGCGACUAGAGUGCGGGAGAGGAAAGUGGAAUUCCUGGUGUAGCGGUGAAAUGCGUAGAUAUCAGGAGGAACACCGGUGGUGUAGACGGCUUUCUGGACCGUAAAUGACGCUGAGACACGAAAGCGUGGGUAGCAAACAGG
rnacentral:rRNA from 1 species